AACGAACGCUGGCGGCAGGCCUAACACAUGCAAGUCGAACGCUCGUAGCAAUACGAGAGUGGCAGACGGGUGAGUAACGCGUGGGAACCUUCCCAGUGGUACGGAAUAGCCCAGGGAAACUUGGGGUAAUACCGUAUACGCCCGAAAGGGGAAAGAUUUAUCGCCAUUGGAUGGGCCCGCGUCGGAUUAGCUAGGUGGUGAGGUAACGGCUCACCAAGGCGACGAUCCGUAGCUGGGCUGAGAGGAGGAUCAGCCAAACUGGGACUGAGACACGGCCCAGACUCCUACGGGAGGCAGCAGUGGGGAAUAUUGGACAAUGGGCGCAAGCCUGAUCCAGCCAUGCCGCGUGAGUGACGAAGGCCUUAGGGUUGUAAAGCUCUUUUGGCGGGGACGAUAAUGACGGUACCCGCAGAAUAAGCCCCGGCAAACUUCGUGCCAGCCGCCGCAGUAACAC
rnacentral:rRNA from 1 species